AAGAAAGCCAUCCCAAACGAAGCCGUUUGGGACGGCUUUCCUCAUGCUUUCUAAAACAAUUUUUCAGUACAAAAAUUUUUGAAUUUAAAUUUUUUGUACUAAAAAAGUCAUUUUAAAAAGCAAUAUGAAAGUUGCCCCAAAUCAAACCUAAAUGAUUUCAAAGCUGGAAAAAAGAAAACAGAAGCAGCAAUCUCUAAGCAGUGGCCAAAGCUGAUCAGCAGCCAACCUGAAACCAUCUUUUGAAGAGGCGGGCGCGAUCCAUCCUCCUUUUCUCAUUGCGGCGGAAGGCAGCUGCCCUUUUAUCCAUGGCCUUAGUGGUAUCAGCUUCCAUGGGCUCAAAGACCUUCACAGUUAUCCGAUAAUUAAGAGUUCAAACAUCAUCAGUACAAAAAGUGUAUGAGCAUGGAACGCACCUUCUUUUUGGACAUUUGGCUCUGAUAAUUGCCUGAUCCAGCUGGGCACGGCCAGCCCAGCUCUCUUCGGCUGCUGCUGCAUUGUAUCUGCUUCUGAUUCUCGGCUGGAAAUGUAAUGGCCAUCAUGCUAUGGCCGCUGCCGCUGGAACUACCACCAUUGUCCAGUUCUUCGCUCAGCUGAGAACCAGGAACCUGGCGGAUACGGGUCUCCAGCACGUUGAGGCGAUCCAUGAGGGCCUCUUUGAGGUGAACAUCCACCAUGUCUGAUCGCAACUGAUAUCUCCUCCCUUUCUCUCCUGCGAAGCAGCUAUCCGGCAGUCUUUCCUUCUUCUCCAGCUGCCUUAGCUGCAUAUAUUGUUUCAUAAAAGAUAAAAGAGAUCAACUACUUGUAUGCAUCAAUGUAAGGGGCUGUUUGAUAUGCGGAUUUCGGCGGAUUUGAGGCGGAUUUGAGGCGAAAUCCAGCCAAACGGCCUAAAAUGCAAAACCAAAUCUCAUGGAAAAUCAAAUCCUCUGUAGACAGAAAAUUCCGCCUUUUCGUCGUAAAUCCCGGAUUUCGGAAAUCCUCGUUUGGUGGAUUUCCGAAAUCCUCUGGCUCUAUUGGUGCGGAAAGGAAGAAACUCCGCCCAAAUCUUUCACAUAGGAUUUAUCUGAAGGUUACCAAACCGUUUUCAGGAUUUAAAUCUCUCAGGAUUUCGUAAAUCAGGAUUUGGAAGAUUUACGAAAUCCUACUUAAAUGAAAUCCUAGAUUCUACCAAACUGCCCCUAAGAGGUGGAAGAACUUACACGAAGGUCGAUUUGAUUCAGCCUGUCAAGCACGGACUCAGCUGAAGGAUAAUUUUCAUGGCCUCUCAGCCUAUCACCCAUUGUAAGUUGUCUUAUAUCUCUAUUUAGCUUGGCUGUUGUGAAUAUCGAAGAAGAAAGGGAAAUGAAGGGUUUUUUCUUGUCUUUUUUUUUUUAAUCUUUGAUGGUGAUCGCUACACAGCGUGCACGGCUUCAGUGUGAGAUAGUGAACUGGUUCUCAUCGUGAAUAGAGAUUUAUUUAUGGAUA